UGUGUACUCCCUCCGUUCGGAAUUACUUGUCGCAGAAAUGGAUGUAUCUAGAUGUAUUUUAGUUCUACAUACAUCCAUUUUCGAGACAAGUAAUUCCGAACGGAGGGAGUACUAU
rnacentral:pre_miRNA from 1 species